GUGCUAUCAUAGAAGGGUCAUCCCAUUGCCUUCUUUAGUAAGAAGUUGUCCACAAAGAUGCAGGUUGCCUCGGCCUAUGUUCGUGAGUUGUAUGUUGUCACAGAAGCAGCCAUGAAAUGGCGUCAAUAUCUAAUAUGAUGCUAUUUUCGGAUUUUUACAGACCAACGAAGCUCGAAACACAUGUUAACACAGAGUUUUCAAACAACUGAACAACAAAAGUGGGCAACAAAACAACAAGGCUUCGAAUACGAGAUAUUUUACCGACCUGGGCGAGACAAUAGGGUGGAAGAUGCUCUAUCUAGCUGCCAGUUAGUGGAGUCCAUUAUAGUAUCCUUGAGUUCUAUAGUACCAAACUUACUCAUUGACCUUGCUGCUUUCUAUACAACAGAAUGUGGUAAAAUGUUAGUUGCAAGGCUACUACAAGCAUCAUUUGGGAACAUUUACCACCCAAAAAAUGGAUUGUUAUAUUACAAGGAUCGUUUGUAUAUACCUGAUUCAAUUGGAAUGUGAAACAAUUUGCUAACUGUAUAUCAUUCCACCCUGUCAAUAGGUCAUUCCGGACUCAAAUCCACAAUGGCUAGAUUGGCGGCCUCCUUUUUCUGGCCAUGGCUAUAUAAAGAAGCAAAACAAUUUAUUAACCAUUGUUUAAUAUGUCAGCAAAACAAGUGCAUACCAACAAACUAGAAAGGCCAGCUUCAACCAUUGCCCUUACUCACCAAGUUUGGGAAGACAUUUCCAUGGAUUUCAUCAUUUCCUUUAUGCCUUCAUUUGGACACACUAUCAUAUGGGUCGUUGUUGACCGAUUAACCAAGUAUUAGCACUUUGUGGCUUUACCAAGCCGCUUUACAGUAGUGCAUCUCGCCGGGCGUUUCGCCUGUGAAAUAUAUCGGCUACGUGGAAUUCCCCGAACUAUUAUCUCGGACAAGGAUAAGUUGUUUUUGAGUAAUUUUGGAGGGAUUUUUUUCCGCUUGCGAGGUACUAAACUUUGUUUCAGUACUGCUUAUCACCUUGAAAGCAAUAGACAAAUAGAAGUUGUAAAUAGAUGGCUCAAAGCUUACCUGAGAUGUUUUACUAGUGAACAACCUCGACAGUGGUUCAAGUUCCUUCAUCUGGAUGAAUACUGGUACAAAACUUCUAUGCACUCAUCCAUUGAUAUGACUCCAUUCCAAGACCUUUAUGGUCGUUUGCCACCGUUGCUGAAGGAGUACACACUGUCGAGCCUCUAACUCAGAGUUGGACACCUCUCUACAUGACAGACAAUUGUUGAUGAAUCGUUUAAAUAUUAAUUUAUACAAGGCUCAACAAAUGAUGAAGGCUCAAAGUGAUAAGCCUAGAACUAAUUGUACCUUAAUGUGGGAACUUGGGUAUAGCUAAAGCUUCAAACCUGCCGAUAAUAAACAAUUGUCCGACACCCUUCACAGAAGCUGGGUAAAUGCUAUUUGGGGACAUAUCAGAUACUCCAUCAUGUAGGAAUGGUGGCCUACGAAUUAGCACUGCCAGAGAGAUCACAAAUUCACCCAAUGUUUCAUGUUUCGAAGCCACGUCCAUUGUGGGGGAACCCUCCAUUGGACUUACCUCCAUCACCACCAUUAUUCAUGGAAGAAGAAGCAAAGAAUUUGAAUGAGAAAGGGAAUCACAAUGUUCUUGAUAAAAACAAGCAGAGAGAGGUAAAAGAAAAUAAUAACUCACAAGUGUUCAGGAAGACACGAAGUCAUGAGAUAGAUAC
rnacentral:lncRNA from 1 species